rnacentral:rRNA from 1 species
GGGGAUGACGUCAAGUCAUCAUGGCCCUUACGACCAGGGCUACACACGUGCUACAAUGGCAUAUACAAAGAGAAGCGACCUCGCGAGAGCAAGCGGACCUCAUAAAGUAUGUCGUAGUCCGGAUUGGAGUCUGCAACUCGACUCCAUGAAGUCGGAAUCGCUAGUAAUCGUAGAUCAGAAUGCUACGGUGAAUACGUUCCCGGGCCUUGUACACACCGCCCGUCACACCAUGGGAGUGGGUUGCAAAAGAAGUAGGUAGCUUAACCUUCGGGAGGGCGCUUACCACUUUGUGAUUCAUGACUGGGGUGAAGUCGUAACAAGGUAACCGUAGGGGAACCUGCGGUUGGAUCACCUCCUU